AACGAACGCUGGCGGCAAGCUUAACACAUGCAAGUCGAACGGACAGUUAUUUAUAGCCUCGGCUAUGAGUACCUGUUAGUGGCAGACGGGUGAGUAAUGCGUAGGAAUCUGCCUAGUAGAAUGGAAUAGCUAUUAGAAAUGAUAGGUAAUACUGUAUAAUCCCUGCGGGGGAAAGAUUUAUCGCUAUUAGAUGAGCCUACGUUAGAUUAGCUAGCUGGUAAGGUAAUGGCUUACCAAGGCAAUGAUCUAUAGCUGGUCUGAGAGGACGAUCAGCCACACUGGAACUGAGAUACGGUCCAGACUCCUACGGGAGGCAGCAGUGGGGAAUAUUGGACAAUGGGCGAAAGCCUGAUCCAGCUAUGCCGCGUGA
rnacentral:rRNA from 1 species